ensembl:lncRNA
GGUGAAACACUGAAGGGCUUGUCCUGGGUAGUAGCUUAUAACUGAUUCUUCUCAUUUGGAGGGCUGCCGACCUAUUCAUUAUUUAAUUGAGUAUAGUCACCUGUGGUUGGAGGAUAGAAAGGAAGGGGAUGAGGGUCAGGGGAGCCAGCAACAGGACUGCUUCUGCACUCAGCCUGCAAGCUUCUGGUAGGAGAAGAAGCCCAGGGUGAAGAAGAACUUGGCCUUCCUCUUCAGCUACUACAUGGUUUGGGGAUUGAUGUGCCUUGAAGACCCGGGUAUUGCAAUGCUCCAGCUACUCCAAAGGAGAGGAAAAAUUGAGCUCUGCAAUAGGGGUAUGAAUAUUCAGUCACAGAAGCACUCAGCAACAGACCUAAUUUUUAUUUUUGACUUCAGAAAGCUCCAAAAAUGAGAUUGAAGCUGAUAGUCUUCAAUAUAGCAUUUGCUAUUCUGGUCCCAUAGUUCACCUGUCCUGGGAAGAUAACAAUACUCAUAAUGCCCAUGAACUUACUUAGAUUUAAAUUUUCUAUGUAUUCUCUGGCUUUUCAGGUCCUGGCUUCACAUAUACUUUGUUACCAUCACCCCUUGCCACCCCUAGACCCAACAUAAUGAGAGACUACCAACCGUUCACUUUUGCCAGAGAUCUUGACUCUCUUCUCUACCUUAUCUUUAAUGAGAAUUGCUAUGACAAAGUAAAAUUGACUGGUCUUUGUUUUACUUUUUCUCCCUGCUUUGUGACUGCUCUCAUUAAGGAUCCUAUAUAAUUCUCAAAUGGGAUUAUCAGUCUUUAAAAACUGAUGAGUUGUCAAGCUUCUUGCCUUUGUUUUCUCCAAAUAAAGACCUAAAAGUGCUGAGAUGAUUCA